ACCAGCUCUUCAAGUGGUCGGGAUAAUUAUUGGGCUUAAAGUGUCCGUAGCCGGUUUAGCAAGUUUCCUGUUAAAUUCAGCGACCUAAUCGUUGAGCCGCGGGAAAUACUACUAGGCUAGGAGGCGGGAGAGGUCGACGGUACUUCUGGGGUAGGGGUGAAAUCCUAUAAUCCCGGGAGGACCACCAGUGGCGAAGGCUGUCGACUAGAACGCGCUCGACGGUGAGGGACGAAAGCUGGGGGAGCGAACCGGAUUAGAUACCCGGGUAGUCCCAGCUGUAAACGAUGCGGGCUAGGUGUUGGGGUGGCUACGUGCCACUUCAGUGCCGCAGGGAAGCCAUUAAGCCCGCCGCCUGGGGAGUACGGCCGCAAGGCUGAAACUUAAAGGAAUUGGCGGGGAGCAUCACAAGGCGUGAAGCUUGCGGUUC
rnacentral:rRNA from 1 species